rnacentral:rRNA from 1 species
GGAUCAUUACAGAGACUCUGCCCUUUGGGUAGACCUCCCACCCUGUGUCGUUAUACCUUCGUUGCUUUGGCGGGCCGCGGGGCCCCGGCCCCGCCCCUGGCUCCGGCUAGGGCGCGCCCGCCAGAGGACCUCAAAACCCGAAUGUUAGUGUCGUCUGAGUACUAUAUAAUAGUUAAAACUUUCAACAACGGAUCUCUUGGUUCUGGCAUCGAUGAAGAACGCAGCGAAAUGCGAUAAGUAAUGUGAAUUGCAGAAUUCAGUGAAUCAUCGAAUCUUUGAACGCACAUUGCGCCCCUUGGUAUUCCGGGGGGCAUGCCUGUUCGAGCGUCAUUACAACCCUCAAGCUCAGCUUGGUCUUGGGCGUCACCGGUCCCCGGUGUGCCCUAAAAUCAGUGGCGGCGCCAUCUGGCUCUAAGCGUAGUACAUACUCUCGCUACAGACGCCCGGUGGAUGCUGGCCAGCAACCCCCAAUUUAUCAAGGUUGAC